UGCAACAGCUCCACUGAGCCUGGAGGCAGAAACAGGCCCCAGUACAGCCAUAUUACCCCAGAACCAAGAUCUAUUCUGGAGAAGUCGGGGACAGGGCCCCGUGAACGAGGAUUAUAUAGACUUAGCAGUUCUGUUACAGCACCCUCUAGAAGUGGUGAGAGUAGAAAGGUUUAGAUAGUAAGGGCAGCUAAGGCCCCAACUAGAAGACAGACGGGAGUAUUUCUUCCACUAGGCAAUGUUGCCUUAGCUUAGGGCCACGGACUAGUGACAGGAUACAGGCAGGAUAACCCCUGAUCUAUGCCCAGCCGUAGGACCCACAAGAGUUAAAGGUUAUCAACCUGGGGAUUGACUUCACUAUCCGAUCUGCCUUCCAAAGUGGUGCCCAGCUGACAGGUGCUUUACCCAGCCCAGACUCCAAAAGAGGUGGGAUGAACCGGUGGUACCCUCCUUUGCUAUCCUAAGUGGGUUCUGCUAUUUCUAUCUUGUUCAUGUGAGUACGGAUCCUCUGUGAAGUGAUAUCACCUGUGUUGGAUGAAUAAACCCUUGUAUUAUAGUUCA